CUGCAGAGUUGCCUCCUUAAAUUCUGGACCAGAUGCUUCACAUUUUCUGAGAGCUUUCAUGGAUGUAUUACAUGAGUUUCUUGACCAUAAUUAUGGAUCUUGGCAGUAGUGACAGUCCUCUGUGCUUCCACAUUAAGGUGAAUUCAGAUGCAGGGAAUGGUGGGACAUGGUGAUAAUUUCCAUGACAACACAGAAAGAUUCCAGAAACAGAGAUUUCUGACUAAAUAUAUGAAGGUUGUUGAAAAGCACAACUGUAAGAAUUCUGCCUACUCACUGGGAAUAACAGACAGAAGAGUUAAGCCUCUGUGUGUGUGACAAUGCUGGUACCACCUGUAAAGUCCUGGGAUUCCCGUAUCCUGGUUAUCCCAGACGUGCACAGGGAUAGGAACUGGGCAUCCUCCCUACCUGAGUGCUUCAGGAACUGAUCCAAAGAGAAACCUCUGGAUGGACAACUGUUAAAGAGAACGUGACUCGGGGAAAAAGGUAAUCCAUCUUUUCUUACAACAGACUUGCAAAUUGGAUCAGCUUCCCGGAUUUGCAG
rnacentral:lncRNA from 1 species